rnacentral:tmRNA from 1 species
GGGGGUGAAAUGGUUUCGACGGGGGUAUUGCAGCAAGAUAAGCGAGCCGUAGUUUGCCAGUCUACGUAAAAAAGGGCAGAUUAAAUAUAAACGCAAACAACAAAACAAAUUACGCACUGGCAGCAUAGCCACUGCGCGUCAACUCCGAUUUACCUGUAGGUCGGAGACCUGGCGUCAAACAUACAGGAAAACUCUGUGUGAGCUCCUAGUAGCACAGAGGAACAAUAGGAUAGCUGAGGCCGUAGCCUGCUGAUGGGCGACGGACGAGGCGAAACAACAAAACAUCAGCUGCGCUCGGAGAAGGUCUUGUGGACAUACUUUCGGACGUGAGUUCGACUCUCACCACCUUCACCA